rnacentral:lncRNA from 1 species
AUGGUUCGCCCAUUGCCUCCACCACCUGGGCUAGCGCUGAAUAUUCCAUGGAAUGCUCCUAAUGCCCCAUACUCGAUCCCAGGCAGUGGUGGGCUUCCUGUGCAUCCCAUGGCAAGGCCUCCUGUCAUGCCAGUAGCCCCAUCAGUGAGGCCACCGCCGCCCAUGUCUAUGUCUUCACAACAGCAUCUUAUGCAGCCUAUGCAUUUGCCUCAUCAAGUUACCAUGAACCCUCCAAGCAUGCCAAUACCUCCGCCUCCGGGAUCUCAAUUUACACCUCUAGUUCCGCGGCCUUUUGUUCAGAUGACCGCACCACCCCCUCCUAUGCAGAUGGUUGCGCCGCCUUUGCCGCAGGGAAUGCCACCACCACCCCCUCCUGAGGAAGCUCCUCCACUUCCCGAUGAACCAGAACCCAAGAGGCAGAGAAUUGACGAAGUGUCACUCAUCCCCGUGGACAAGUUCC